UAGCCGUCAGACCCCCCGUUGGAGAAGAAGACCUAGUCACCGUGAAGGGAGCCGACCGCCGACCGCUGCCCGCCGAUGCACCGAAGCCACUUCUGACUGUCAAAAGAGAUAAAAAAAAAAUUUACUCGAAAUUCGAUUUUAAAUACCCUCAUGACCAAGUUGGAGCAAAAGGAUUGACAGAUUGGUAGGAAACCGUGGGUAACGCCCGCCGCCGCCAUCGCGAGAAAAAGUAAAAACUACCUCCGAUAAGACCCUUCUCGAUUCCCAUUUCAUGUAACUUUUCUACAAUUGUAAUCACCAUUCCUUUUU
rnacentral:lncRNA from 1 species